CACGUAGUUAGCCGGGGCUUCUUGGUCAGGUACUGUCAUUUUCUUCCCUGCUGAUAGAACUUUACAUACCGAAAUAUUUCUUCGUUCACGCGGCGUCGCUGCAUCAGGGUUCCCCCCAUUGUGCAAUAUCCCCCACUGCUGCCUCCCGCAGGAGUCUGGGCCAUGUCUCAGUCCCAAUGUGGCCGGCCGCCCUCUCAGGCCGGCUACUGAUCGCAGCCUUGGUGGGCCGUUACCCCGCCAACAAGCUAAUCAGACGCGGGCCCAUCCCGUACUGCCGGAGCUUUCCCCGCAGGGCCAUGCGGCCCCGCGGGAACUAUGCGGUAUUAGCAGCCGUUUCGGCUGUUGUCCCCCGGUAGGGGCAGGUUCGCCCACGCGUUGCUCACCCGUCCGCCACUCCAGUCCCCCGCGGCCUUUCCCCCGGAGGGUCCGCCGCGAGGCCGCUUCGUUCGACUUGCAUGUGUUAGGCACGCCGCCAGCGUUCACUCCUGGACGUCCAGGAUCCAAACGUCCUA
rnacentral:rRNA from 1 species